AGGACGAACGCUGGCGGCGUGCUUAACACAUGCAAGUCGAGCGGAAAGGCCCUUCGGGGUACUCGAGCGGCGAACGGGUGAGUAACACGUGAGCAACCUGCCCUUAGCUCCGGGAUAGCUCCGGGAAACCGGAAUUAAUACCGGAUACAACCACGGCCGACAUCUGCUGUGGUGGAAAGGAUUCCGGCUAAGGAUGGGCUCGCGGCCUAUCAGCUAGUUGGUGGAGUAACGGCCCACCAAGGCGACGACGGGUAGCCGGCCUGAGAGGGCGACCGGCCACACUGGGACUGAGACACGGCCCAGACUCCUACGGGAGGCAGCAGUGGGAAUAUUGCGCAAUGGGCGAAAGCCUGACGCAGCGACGCCGCGUGGGGGAUGAAGGCCUUCGGGUUGUAAACCCUUCAGCAGGGACGAAGCGAAAGUGACGGUACCUGCAGAAGAAGCGCCGGCUAACUACGCGCCAGCAGCCGC
rnacentral:rRNA from 1 species